UACGGAGGGGGCUAGCGUUGUUCGGAAUUACUGGGCGUAAAGCGCGCGUAGGCGGCCUUGCAAGUUAGAGGUGAAAGCCCGGAGCUCAACUCCGGAACUGCCUUUAAAACUGCAUAGCUUGAAUCCGGGAGAGGUGAGUGGAAUUCCGAGUGUAGAGGUGAAAUUCGUAGAUAUUCGGAAGAACACCAGUGGCGAAGGCGACUGACUGGACAAGUAUUGACGCUGAGGUGCGAAAGCGUGGGGAGCAAACAGG
rnacentral:rRNA from 1 species